rnacentral:lncRNA from 1 species
UUUUUUUCUUGUAAUCCAUGAUCGAAUUUUAUUUUUUAUUUUUUAUUUUUGUAACCCCUGAUAGAAUUUUUUGUAAUCCAUGAUCAAAUGUUUUGUAAUCCAUGAUCGAAAUGUUUGUUUUUUUUUUGUAAUCCAAGAUCGAAAUGUUUGUUUUUUUUGUAAUCCAUGAUCGAAUUUUUUGUUUUUUGUUUUUUAUGUAACCCAUGAUAGAGUUUUUUGUAAUCCAUGAUUGAAUUUUUUGUAAUCCAUGAUCUAAUUGUUUUUUUCUUUUUUUGUAAUCCACGAUCGAAUUUUUUGUUUUUUUUGUUUUUUUUUU